AGAGUUUGAUCAUGGCUCAGAUUGAACGCUGGCGGCAGGCCUAACACAUGCAAGUCGAACGGUAACAGGAAGAAGCUUGCUUCUUUGCUGACGAGUGGCGGACGGGUGAGUAAUGUCUGGGAAACUGCCUGAUGGAGGGGGAUAACUACUGGAAACGGUAGCUAAUACCGCAUAACGUCGCAAGACCAAAGAGGGGGACCUUCGGGCCUCUUGCCAUCGGAUGUGCCCAGAUGGGAUUAGCUUGUUGGUGGGGUAACGGCUCACCAAGGCGACGAUCCCUAGCUGGUCUGAGAGGAUGACCAGCCACACUGGAACUGAGACACGGUCCAGACUCCUACGGGAGGCAGCAGUGGGGAAUAUUGCACAAUGGGCGCAAGCCUGAUGCAGCCAUGCCGCGUGUAUGAAGAAGGCCUUCGGGUUGUAAAGUACUUUCAGCGGGGAGGAAGGGAGUAAAGUUAAUACCUUUGCUCAUUGACGUUACCCGCAGAAGAAGCACCGGCUAACUCCGUGCCAGCAGCCGCGGUAAUACGGAGGGUGCAAGCGUUAAUCGGAAUUACUGGGCGUAAAGCGCACGCAGGCGGUUUGUUAAGUCAGAUGUGAAAUCCCCGGGCUCAACCUGGGAACUGCAUCUGAUACUGGCAAGCUUGAGUCUCGUAGAGGGGGGUAGAAUUCUAGGUGUAGCGGUGAAAUGCGUAGAGAUCUGGAGGAAUACCGGUGGCGAAGGCGGCCCCCUGGACGAAGACUGACGCUCAGGUGCGAAAGCGUGGGGAGCAAACAGGAUUAGAUACCCUGGUAGUCCACGCCGUAAACGAUGUCGACUUGGAGGUUGUGCCCUUGAGGCGUGGCUUCCGGAGCUAACGCGUUAAGUCGACCGCCUGGGGAGUACGGCCGCAAGGUUAAAACUCAAAUGAAUUGACGGGGGCCCGCACAAGCGGUGGAGCAUGUGGUUUAAUUCGAUGCAACGCGAAGAACCUUACCUGGUCUUGACAUCCACAGAACUUUCCAGAGAUGGAUUGGUGCCUUCGGGAACUGUGAGACAGGUGCUGCAUGGCUGUCGUCAGCUCGUGUUGUGAAAUGUUGGGUUAAGUCCCGCAACGAGCGCAACCCUUAUCCUUUGUUGCCAGCGGUCCGGCCGGGAACUCAAAGGAGACUGCCAGUGAUAAACUGGAGGAAGGUGGGGAUGACGUCAAGUCAUCAUGGCCCUUACGACCAGGGCUACACACGUGCUACAAUGGCGCAUACAAAGAGAAGCGACCUCGCGAGAGCAAGCGGACCUCAUAAAGUGCGUCGUAGUCCGGAUUGGAGUCUGCAACUCGACUCCAUGAAGUCGGAAUCGCUAGUAAUCGUGGAUCAGAAUGCCACGGUGAAUACGUUCCCGGGCCUUGUACACACCGCCCGUCACACCAUGGGAGUGGGUUGCAAAAGAAGUAGGUAGCUUAACCUUCGGGAGGGCGCUUACCACUUUGUGAUUCAUGACUGGGGUGAAGUCGUAACAAGGUAACCGUAGGGGAACCUGCGGUUGGAUCACCU
rnacentral:rRNA from 1 species